rnacentral:rRNA from 1 species
CGUGCAGGCGGUCGGGCAAGUCAGAUGUGAAAGCCUUUCGCUUAACGAGAGAAGUGCAUUUGAAACUGCUCGGCUAGAGUACGGGAGAGGAGAGUGGAAUUCCCGGUGUAGAGGUGAAAUUCGUAGAUAUCGGGAGGAACACCAGUGGCGAAGGCGGCUCUCUGGUCCGAUACUGACGCUGAGACGCGAAAGCGUGGGGAGCAAACAGGAUUAGAUACCCUGGUAGUCCACGCCGUAAACGAUGGGCACUAGGUGUAGGAGGUAUUGACCCCUUCUGUGCCGAAGCUAACGCAUUAAGUGCCCCGCCUGGGGAGUACGGCCGCAAGGCUAAA